rnacentral:lncRNA from 1 species
UUUGGUGACUUUGCCCGCUUUGACCCGCAGGGCGGGCUGGCCGGCAUCGCCGCAAUCAAAGCCCAUCUGGACAUCCUGGUGGAGCGCUCCAACCGCAGCAGAGCCAUCAACGGAGGCUCCAGGUCUUCCCAGACCCCUUUGGCACCCCUCUCCUUGAGGAAUGACACCUCUCACCCGGACUCCCGCCCAGGGACCAGUCAAAUAUAGGAGCUCCUGGCGUCCCCACUCCCUCCCCAGUCUCCUCUCCCUCUGUUUUCCUCCUCUCCUGCCCCAGUGGAUACCCCAGAGCAUCCCCUGCCCACAGAUGGCUACAAAGGGGGAACGUCCCUUAAUCCCAGUCCUAGUAAGGCCCUGGGGUGAGGGAUGAGCCUGUGGACUCAGGGCCUGUUCCUCCUAGUGCCUCCACGGGUGACCGUGCUCCCCAAGUCUCGGGUGGAGCUGGGCCAGCCCAACAUCCUCAUCUGCAUCGUGGACAACAUCUUCCCCCCUGUGAUCAAUAUCACCUGGCUGCGCAACGGCCAAACUGUCACUGAGGGAGUGGCCCA